UACGGGGGGAGCAAGCGUUGUUCGGAUUUACUGGGCGUAAAGGGCGCGUAGGCGGCGCGACAAGUCACUUGUGAAGUCUCUGGGCUCAACCCAGAACGGUCAAGUGAUACUGUCGUGCUAGAGUGCGGAAGGGGCAACUGGAAUUCUUGGUGUAGCGGUGAAAUGCGUAGAUAUCAAGAGGAACACCUGCGGCGAAGGCGGGUUGCUGGGCCGACACUGACGCUGAGGCGCGAAAGCUAGGGGAGCGAACGGG
rnacentral:rRNA from 1 species